rnacentral:rRNA from 1 species
CCUCUAACAAUUUAUUCUGUGCACUGUUUAGUAGGCUUCGGCCUGACCUGGGCGAGUUCGCUUUUUCCCUCGGAAGAAAUCCGGCUUGCCCAACUAUUAUACUAUUCUGACUGAACCAACAAGAAAUUUGUUACAAUAAACAACUUUCAGCAAUGGAUCUCUCGGCUUUCGUAUCGAUGAAGAACGCAGCAAAUCGCGAUAUGUAGUGUGAUCUGCCUAUAGUGAAUCAUCAAAUCUUUGAACGCAUCUUGCACCUCUGGGUAUUCCUGGAGGUACGCCUGUUUCAGUAUCAUUUUAUCUUCUCUCCAAUUCAUUUUGGGCAGGAAAAAUGACUAUUGGCCCCGAGCUUGAGUUUUAUUACUCGGUUUCUNGGCUUAAAUAUCUCUAGUUUUUUGAACUGGUAGUUACCUUUUGGUAGAAUUUUCUGCAUAAAAGCCCCUCUCCAYUCAAUAAAACUAAAAAUCAUUCACUUGAUCUGAAAUCAGGCGGGAUUACCGCGCUGAACUAA